AGGCAGCAGUGGGGAAUUUUGGACAAUGGGGGAAACCCUGAUCCAGCCAUUCCGCGUGUGCGAUGAAGGCCUUCGGGUUGUAAAGCACUUUUGGCAGGAAAGAAAUCGCACCAAUUAAUACUUGGUGUGGAUGACGGUACCUGCAGAAUAAGCACCGGCUAACUACGUGCCAGCAGCCGCGGUAAUACGUAGGGUGCAAGCGUUAAUCGGAAUUACUGGGCGUAAAGCGUGCGCAGGCGGUUCGGAAAGAGAGGUGUGAAAUCCCAGGGCUCAACCUUGGAACUGCACUUUUAACUACCGAGCUAGAGUAUGUCAGAGGGGGGUGGAAUUCCGCGUGUAGCAGUGAAAUGCGUAGAUAUGCGGAGGAACACCGAUGGCGAAGGCAGCCCCCUGGGAUAAUACUGACGCUCAUGCACGAAAGCGUGGGGAGCAAACAGGAUUAGAUACCCUGGUAGUCCACGCCCUAAACGAUGUCAACUAGCUGUUGGGGCCUUCGGGCCUUAGUAGCGCAGCUAACGCGUGAAGUUGACCGCCUGGGGAGUACGGUCGCAAGAUUAAAACUC
rnacentral:rRNA from 1 species